GGGGGAACGGGCGGGUGCUAUACAUGCAAGUCGAACGCGUUGGCCCAAUUGAUUGAUGGUGCUUGCACCUGAUUGAUUUUGGUCGCCAACGAGUGGCGGACGGGUGAGUAACACGUAGGUAACCUGCCCAGAAGCGGGGGACAACAUUUGGAAACAGAUGCUAAUACCGCAUAACAGCGUUGUUCGCAUGAACAACGCUUAAAAGAUGGCUUCUCGCUAUCACUUCUGGAUGGACCUGCGGUGCAUUAGCUUGUUGGUGGGGUAAUGGCCUACCAAGGCGAUGAUGCAUAGCCGAGUUGAGAGACUGAUCGGCCACAAUGGGACUGAGACACGGCCCAUACUCCUACGGGAGGCAGCAGUAGGGAAUCUUCCACAAUGGGCGCAAGCCUGAUGGAGCAACACCGCGUGAGUGAAGAAGGGUUUCGGCUCGUAAAGCUCUGUUGUUAAAGAAGAACACGUAUGAGAGUAACUGUUCAUACGUUGACGGUAUUUAACCAGAAAGUCACGGCUAACUACGUGCCAGCAGCCGCGGUAAUACGUAGGUGGCAAGCGUUAUCCGGAUUUAUUGGGCGUAAAGAGAGUGCAGGCGGUUUUCUAAGUCUGAUGUGAAAGCCUUCGGCUUAACCGGAGAAGUGCAUCGGAAACUGGAUAACUUGAGUGCAGAAGAGGGUAGUGGAACUCCAUGUGUAGCGGUGGAAUGCGUAGAUAUAUGGAAGAACACCAGUGGCGAAGGCGGCUACCUGGUCUGCAACUGACGCUGAGACUCGAAAGCAUGGGUAGCGAACAGGAUUAGAUACCCUGGUAGUCCAUGCCGUAAACGAUGAGUGCUAGGUGUUGGAGGGUUUCCGCCCUUCAGUGCCGGAGCUAACGCAUUAAGCACUCCGCCUGGGGAGUACGACCGCAAGGUUGAAACUCAAAGGAAUUGACGGGGGCCCGCACAAGCGGUGGAGCAUGUGGUUUAAUUCGAAGCUACGCGAAGAACCUUACCAGGUCUUGACAUCUUGCGCCAACCCUAGAGAUAGGGCGUUUCCUUCGGGAACGCAAUGACAGGUGGUGCAUGGUCGUCGUCAGCUCGUGUCGUGAGAUGUUGGGUUAAGUCCCGCAACGAGCGCAACCCUUGUUACUAGUUGCCAGCAUUAAGUUGGGCACUCUAGUGAGACUGCCGGUGACAAACCGGAGGAAGGUGGGGACGACGUCAGAUCAUCAUGCCCCUUAUGACCUGGGCUACACACGUGCUACAAUGGACGGUACAACGAGUCGCGAACUCGCGAGGGCAAGCAAAUCUCUUAAAACCGUUCUCAGUUCGGACUGCAGGCUGCAACUCGCCUGCACGAAGUCGGAAUCGCUAGUAAUCGCGGAUCAGCAUGCCGCGGUGAAUACGUUCCCGGGCCUUGUACACACCGCCCGUCACACCAUGAGAGUUUGUAACACCCAAAGUCGGUGGGGUAACCUUUUAGGAGCCAGCCGCAUAAGGUGACAAGAU
rnacentral:rRNA from 1 species